UGCCAGCAGCCGCGGUAAGACAGAGGGUGCAAGCGUUAAUCGGAAUUACUGGGCGUAAAGGGCGCGUAGGUGGUUAGAUAAGUCAGAUGUGAAAUCCCCGGGCUUAACCUGGGAACUGCAUAUGAAACUGUUUGACUAGAGUACAAUAGAGGGUGGUGGAAUUUCCUGUGUAGCGGUGAAAUGCGUAGAUAUCAGAAGGAAUACCAAUGGCGAAGGCAGCUCUCUGGCUCGUCACUGACGCUGAGGUGCGAAAGCGUGGGUAGCAAACAGGAUUAGAUA
rnacentral:rRNA from 1 species